UUGUUGUGCCCCACUCCCUUAACGGGCGGCGCUUUCGCUCUCAUCGCUUCGGCCGCCAUCCGCUUCGUCUGCUCCUGACGGUUUCCGUGGACGUGCGCGUUUUUUCGUUUGCUUUGUAGUUGAAAACUUUCUUUCUGUGCCUGCGAACGUUCCAGCCAUGUCGGAAAAAUUGAGGAAACGGCACAAGACGUGAUGCGCGGGUGUAUGGCAUGGCCACUCGAUGAUCAACAGCAGGGCGAAAUUUUUCCGUUUGCCAGCGGAUGAAAGAUGUGACAUAUGGCGAAAUUACGCCAAAUGGGGAGUCCUGGCGAUGCUGAGAUGUACAUACCACGGCUACCGCCUCUGCUCGAUCGGGCCACUUCACAGAAAACCAGGGUCCUCGCCGACCCUGCCAUACGAGGCUGUUGUGGUAGGCUAUGCCGACUGUUGCAGUGGGAGAGCGGUCCCUGAUCGAUGAAGGUUCUACACCGCCGCAGCGAGACCAAAAGCGAAAAAUAUACUCACCAGAGACUGCAGGCGUCAUCAACCAACUGAGAAAGGAUACAUAAAGGUAUCGAAAGUCAGCGAAGUUGAAGAGCUGCUGAAAGAUUACCAUGAGAGGAGCACUAGAGAAGUUUAUUUAUCAUGUGAGCCCAGAGUCUACCAAGUCUUGCAGUGGCAGGUGACACUCCAUUAUUGCAGAAGGAAGAGAAGAACAUGGCGAAACGUUUUCUAGAGUGUAUUGGUGUGGUUGCGCAAUAAUUUUGUGGUGUGUCCACUGUACUGAGUGAUAAGCUAAAUAACAGACUACUAAAAGAAAUCUUUUGCUCUAAUAAGUGUCACAUAGACUUGCUGCAGCAGUUCCGCUAUGCGUAGCUUAUACUGUGCAUAGAUGACAUCAAUCCGGAUCUUAGAAAACAGCAUGAGAGAAAGUUCACAGCAAAAGGAAAGCUCCAGGAGCUUGAAAGCUAGGAUACAGUUUCUUACUGGUGUUUUAUUCUCUUUGCAAUUCCAAUAGUUCUUAAGGUAGUCGCCUGAUUAGCCUAGCUUUACAAAUAUUUUGGCGUAUUUCAAAAUUUACAUAAUGUCAUGCAGCGUAUUCAUUGUGCAGACAAUCAUUGCUCCCACACCUGCAGCCGCCUCUUUAAACAUCAUUACAUAGCUACCAUACAUGGAUCUUUGGAUGCUGGAAUCUUCUUGACCUUGCUUCAGUAAAGUAGUGCAAGUACUAAUGUUGCUCAACACUCUUCACUUCAGUGGUUUCAUUAAUAUGGCAAAAGUGGGAGGGGGCGGGUUGAAGCACAGGAAGCAUGCUGUGCCAGAAACGAGUGUUCUAGAAAAGUUGAACUGCCUUGACCUCCUUAUUGUGUCGACACCGAAAUUCCCAUGAUGGAUGACCCCUAGCCAAUGAUGAAACUCGUAACGCAGCUCUAAGACCUGUUCUGUGCUUCAAACAAGUCUCACGAAACUGUGCCUAUAGGCUCUAUUAAAGAAAGCGCAUAAUGUACAUUAAGCGUAUUAUAGGAAGGUCUUGAAAACCAUUCUAUAAAGAUAAUUGUUCUGAGCAGGUCGCUCUGAUGCAUUGAAUGCAGAAGAUUUGCAUUGCUUUUAAAAGAUAUUUCUCAAUGUCCCAAAGCUAUGCGUUCAAUAAUACCGUUGUGCAUCACUCUGUCCUUGCCCAACCUCUACUGCCAAUCAACCGCCAAUUGACACAUGCUUCUCCUGCAUUUACUUUUUCUUAACAAAAAAUCUUGGUGCUAUUUGUUGUUAUUGUCUUGGAACUGUUCCACUUAUGCCUAGACGAUGAUAGAACAAACGAAGUGCAUUAGAAACUUUAAGAAACACGUGCAAUAUGCUUGCAAGGAAUUUCAUAUUGAUACCUAGUUUGCAAUGUUACUGAUUUAGUGAAGCUCUGGUGGUCUUACAUGUAGUAUUGCGAAACAAAACCACAUAUGAAAAAAAAAUACUAUAGACAUUUUCAGUAUAAUUAGCUGAAUAUUUAAUGGUACAUUAGCCCAAUGAGAGCUAUGCAGGAAAUUGACUAGGUAUAGCAUACAUUUUGGACUAGCAAAUAUACCAGUUGUAUGGAACAAAAAAAAAGGAAGCUUUUUUUCUGGUAUGCGAAAAAUGUUAAUCUGCUCCUCUUGAUAAUCUUCUUAUUCAUGCAUAACUGUUGCAACAAGAAUUGCUUUGGUAGAGUUGUGUUGUGCACAGCAAACAAACAUGGCCUCUGUAGCAAUCUUCUGUUUAUGAGAAAUUGUAGGAAGCUGUCUUUUGUAUGUAUGAUCGUAAUACAGAAUGUGCGCAUUUGUACUGACUAAAGAGAUACUCAGCUCAUACAAUUGUGCUGUAAAUUGAAUCCCUUGCUGUGCGAUAGGUUGCUAACAAAAACAGUUAAUAAACCAGUUUUCU